UCCGUAGGUGAACCUGCGGAAGGAUCAUUACCUAGAGUUGCGGGCUUUGCCUGCCAUCUCUUACCCAUGUCUUUUGAGUACCUUACGUUUCCUCGGCGGGUCCGCCCGCCGACUGGACAAAUUUAAACCACUUGCAGUUGCAAUCAGCGUCUGAAAAAACUUAAUAGUUACAACUUUCAACAACGGAUCUCUUGGUUCUGGCAUCGAUGAAGAACGCAGCGAAAUGCGAUAAGUAGUGUGAAUUGCAGAAUUCAGUGAAUCAUCGAAUCUUUGAACGCACAUUGCGCCCCUUGGUAUUCCAUGGGGCAUGCCUGUUCGAGCGUCAUUUGUACCUUCAAGCCUUGCUUGGUGUUGGGUGUUUGUCUCGCCUUUGCGCGCAGACUCGCCUCAAAACAAUUGGCAGCCGGCGUAUUGAUUUCGGAGCGCAGUACAUCUCGCGCUUUGCACUCAGAACGACGACGUCCAAAAGUACAUUUUUUACACUCUUGACCUCGGAUCAGGUAGGGAUACCCGCUGAACUUAAGCAUAUCAAUAAGCGGAGGA
rnacentral:rRNA from 1 species